rnacentral:rRNA from 1 species
AAUACAUGCAGUCGUACGCUUCUUUUUCCACCGGAGCUUGCUCCACCGGAAAAAGAGGAGUGGCGAACGGGUGAGUAACACGUGGGUAACCUGCCCAUCAGAAGGGGAUAACACUUGGAAACAGGUGCUAAUACCGUAUAACAAUCGAAACCGCAUGGUUUUGAUUUGAAAGGCGCUUUCGGGUGUCGCUGAUGGAUGGACCCGCGGUGCAUUAGCUAGUUGGUGAGGUAACGGCUCACCAAGGCCACGAUGCAUAGCCGACCUGAGAGGGUGAUCGGCCACAUUGGGACUGAGACACGGCCCAAACUCCUACGGGAGGCAGCAGUAGGGAAUCUUCGGCAAUGGACGAAAGUCUGACCGAGCAACGCCGCGUGAGUGAAGAAGGUUUUCGGAUCGUAAAACUCUGUUGUUAGAGAAGAACAAGGAUGAGAGUAACUGUUCAUCCCUUGACGGUAUCUAACCAGAAAGCCACGGCUAACUACGUGCCAGCAGCCGCGGUAAUACGUAGGUGGCAAGCGUUGUCCGGAUUUAUUGGGCGUAAAGCGAGCGCAGGCGGUUUCUUAAGUCUGAUGUGAAAGCCCCCGGCUCAACCGGGGAGGGUCAUUGGAAACUGGGAGACUUGAGUGCAGAACACGAGAGUGGAAUUCCAUGUGUAGCGGUGAGAAUGCGUACAUAUAUGUAGGAACACCCGUGGGCGAACGCAGGGUCUCUGGUC